AAAGUCGUAACAAGGUUUCCGUAGGUGAACCUGCGGAAGGAUCAUUAACGAUUGCUAUGCAAAGACAAAACGUAUGCUUUGACCGGAUUUUUCAGUCGAGAAAACUCCUGACGAGAUCAGGAAGGAUGUUGUGAUGCCUCGCCUCCUCGCGUUGGAGUAAAUGGCCACAAAACGUAUGCUUUGACCGGAUUUUUCAGUCGAGAAAACUCCUGACGAGAUCAGGAAGGAUGUUGUGAUGCCUCGCCUCCUCGCGUUGGAGUAAAUGGCCACAAAACGUAUGCUUUGACCGGAUUUUUCAGUCGAGAAAACUCCUGACGAGAUCAGGAAGGAUGUUGUGAUGCCUCGCCUCCUCGCGUUGGAGUAAAUGGCAACAAAACGUAUGCUUUGACCGGAUUUUUCAGUCGAGAAAACUCCUGACGAGAUCAGGAAGGAUGUUGUGAUGCCUCGCCUCCUCGCGUUGGAGUAAAUGGCCACAAAACGUAUGCUUUGACCGGAUUUUCCAGUCGAAAACUCCUGACGAGAUCAGGAAGGAUGAUGCCUCGCCUCCUCGCGUUGGAGUAAAUGGCCAUCGUGGUCGCGUCGUGCUUCUGCGCUGCGAACGAUGUAAAAUAAACAACCGAUGGCCUCUCAUACAGUAUAAUAUCUCUCGCCAUGGUAUACAGGCCUGGCAUCUGGUACGAGUCUCUCGCAGUCUCAAAACCAACCUUACAACUCUGAGCGGUGGAUCACUUGGCUUGUGGAUGCUAUGAAGACCAUAGCUAGUGUGAGAAUGGCAGCGAGCCGUCGCUAUAUGCGCUGUCCUCUUCUUAUCACAUGUCGAAUGCACAUUGCGCCCCACCCAGCGGUCGGCUAAACAACCUGCAGACAAAAGCCUGUGAGUUGGAACAAAGGCAAAUGUGUGGCCCUCGAGCAACGGCGGGGGAGCCAGGAGCACAUGGGCGUGCGGACCAACUACUCGUGAGUAGUCAGGCUGAACCCUAUGGUGGGGCACUCCUAGUCGAGUGUGGUGGAUCGGACUCUCAUCUCUUGUUGCGCGUUUGCACGCGCGAUGGAGUUUGUGAGUUUCUUUGUUGCUGGUGGCAUUUGGGUCGACAUCAGUCGUGCCCGUAAACAACUGCCUUGGCUCGUGCCUCUGUGCGUACUACCACCUUUCACUGGUGCGGUGGUGGGUGCGUGCAUUGAAGGCCAUAGCUGGCGAUCACUCAUGCGGCCAGGGCACUACCUUUGCCAUUUUCAUGGCGGUAGGGCGCACAGGUCCAAAAGGAUAUGGUAAUACGAGAGUCGGGUCUCUAGUACUCUGGCCCGCUUACGCACGGUUAGUGGUAUGGUGAUUUGGUUUGCCUGCGUAUACGCUUCUCUGGUAAAGGUUCGUCUCUCGUAGUAUUCGAGAAUGACAUACGCCUCACCUCUUUUGUUCACACACACGCAUGCUGACAGACAAAUAAACGCCUGACGAGAUCAGGACGGAUUUUCUAACAGUGUGAAAAAAGUAACAGAUUGGCCUGCAGUACCGCUCCACUCCAUGUUUGACCCGAGGCGUGACCGUUGGUAUGAGAGAGACCUGCCUGCUCGUAUCUGGAUAUGCCACCACCUCGACUUAGGAGAGGUUACCCGCUGAACUUAAGCAUAUCAGUAAGCGGAGGAAAAGAAACCAAUCAGGGAUUCCCUUAGUAGGGGCGACCGAACAGGGAUGAGCCCAGCGCAGAACCUCCCGGGCCACCCGGCCUGCGGCGGAAUGUUGCGUUAAGGGAAAGGUCGUAGUCAAACCCCACAGCCACGCGAGCUCUAAGUAAGUCACGAAUUGGCUAUCCCAACUAACGGCGGGAAAAUCUCCACGGAGGGUGUAAGACCCGUGUGGGCGCGUGCAAAUGCUGUGUGGGCUCGGCCUCUUUUCCCUGAGAGUCGCGUUGCUUGAGCAUGCAGCGCUAAGCAGGUCGUAAACUCGAUCUAAGGCUAAAUAUGUCCACAAGACCGAUAGCGAACAAGUACCGUGAGGGAAAGUUGAAAAGCACUCUGAAGAGAG
rnacentral:rRNA from 1 species